rnacentral:rRNA from 1 species
UGCGUAGGUGGUGAGGUAAGUUCGAUGUGAAAUCUCCGGGCUCAACCCGGAAAAGGCAUUGAAUACUAUCUUGCUCGAGGUUUGGAGGGGGGACUGGAAUUCUCGGUGUAGCAGUGAAAUGCGUAGAUAUCGAGAGGAACACCGGUGGCGAAGGCGAGUCCCUGGACAACACCUGACACUGAGGCACGAAAGCUAGGGGAGCAAACAG